GCUUCGGCCGAGUACUAGUGGCGCACGGGUGAGUAACACGUGGGUAAUCUGCCCUCGAGUGGGGAAUAACUAGUCGAAAGAUUGGCUAAUACCGCAUAAGACCACAGAGUCUCCGGAUUCAGAGGUCAAAGGAGUAAUCCGCUUGAGGAUGAGCCCGCGUCAGAUUAGCUAGUUGGUAGGGUAACGGCCUACCAAGGCGAUGAUCUGUAGCUGGUCUGAGAGGAUGAUCAGCCACACUGGAACUGAGACACGGUCCAGACUCCUACGGGAGGCAGCAGUAGGGAAUAUUGCGCAAUGGGGGAAACCCUGACGCAGCGACGCCGCGUGAGUGAUGAAGGCCUUCGGGUCGUAAAGCUCUGUUGCAGGGGAAAAAGUUCUGAUUGUACCCUGUGAGGAAGGAUCGGCUAACUUCGCGCCAGCAGCCGCGGUAAGACGAGGGAUCCUAGCGUUGCUCGGAAUCAUUGGGCGUAAAGCGGGUGUAGGUGGCUCGGUAAGUCAGAUGU
rnacentral:rRNA from 1 species